GGGGAGGCACAUGGACACUGUCCAUAUUUUAUCAAGUUGUUUGAAGAUGAUGAGGCCAAUGGGAGAGAUAUUGGAAAGGGUAAGGAUAAGGGGAUUGAGGCAAAUGGCUUGUUUAUUGUGUUGAGUAAUAUGAUGUUACCUCUUGAAUUUAAUAAUAUUAAUCUCAAAAUAAAUUUAGUUGAGCGUAUUGGGAAAGAUGAUGAGGA
rnacentral:lncRNA from 1 species